GUGCGUGUGGUUGUGCGCGGCCGUCUUCCGAGCAUGCAUUCAAACUAGGUGGUGCUUAGUGAUUGCAUUUCAAUAACUUAGGUAAUAACAAAUUAACCAGAAUAUCCAUUAUAUUGGUGGCCUAUUGUAAGGAAAUCAAGUGAUCUGAGUUAGGGUUCAGAAAACGUGUAUCCUUUAUCAAUCUUAUUUUGUGGCACAUUUUGAGUUGUUGAGGACGUGUGGAGCGAUCUUGAAGUAGCCGCAGGGGCAGCAAGUUCUUGCCUCACCCCCGAAAUGGGGGACGGUCCUCUCCCACUACAGCCUCAGGGCCCGUGUGUGUGAGGAACGACGACCGCUCGACUGCUGCUGUCGUCACUGCAGCUGAUAAGUCGGUGCUGUCUGUUCUCAAUAGAAGACUGGACUAUUGGCCAGCGUUGCUCUACCGGCAAGAAAACAAUCAAGCUCUUCCCAGCAGCAUCCUCUCCUCUUCUUAGACAUCCCUCAGCUCAUCUCAGAGCCACAUUGCCGCUCAAACAAAAGAUUAAUUGCGUGAAAUUAAAGUUUUGUCUCAAAGUCGAGCAAAUCUCGUGUCUGUUAUUCAACCAUAGAACAUAGCAAGUUUACGAAGAAUUAUAGGCCUGUAGCAAUUUCAUCUUUGAAAAUACGUUUGAAAACUUGACCUCAAGUUCAACUUUGGUAUUUCACCAUUAUUCUUCGCCCAGACUCUUUAAGAUUUCAUCGUGCGUUUUUACAGUGAACCCGAAAAUUCAUCUAAUAGAGGAACCUGCUCUGAAAAGUAUUCAUACAAUCACUUGACUGGAAAAAAUCCAAGAAAAACAUUCGUCAACUAUCGCCACUACAGUGGAGAUUUUUCCGACGCGCAGGCAUCAAACUCGCCUGCGGCUAAUAGAAGGCGUCCGAGCAUUUACCAAGACACAGAAGCUCCAUUAACAGCCGCAGCUUACGGUAGCUGCUUCACUUCACGCAACUCGUCGCAACAACGCAAACGCGAGACACUCUCGUCGAGUGGGAAUACUACCGCAAGAAAACUGACCUCACGCAGCGCAAGCGCACGGUUAAACGAAGGCUCAUUAACCUGCAGGAAAAGUGGAUACGAUAAGACUCGACGUAGCAAAGCACCCUUUGCUCAGCGCUCGUAUUUCAGUUACAGUGACGCACGCAUCGCAAACUUACGCAAUCAUCGCGUAUCUUCUAUGUCGUAUUCCAUAUCUGGCCAACACGUCUCAGCAGCCCCUUCUUAUGUUGGUGCGUGGACUCCUGAACAAGAAUCUGUUGUUUCUGGAUUUACGGACGCUGGUAUAUACGCUUCCUUGCAACGACAUCCUAAUAAUCGGCAUCAUCAUAAGCAGCAUUAUCAACAACCUCCCGCUGUUCAACAGCAGCACACGUAUCAACGAUUGCAGCACCCGAGAGCCAAACCUUCGUACGUCGCGCUACGCGGCGUCAAUGCGUCGCGCUCGUCUACGUUACAAAGACC
rnacentral:lncRNA from 1 species